ACCUAAGGGGUACCCUACAACUUUCAGAACCUUUGUCCUUGCUUGGAGCUGCAGCCGUCACCCUUCUGCUAGGGUUCCGCCCCCACUGUCGUUGAGCCAGUUCGAAGCUUUCUCUACUCCACUUUUCCAUUCGCCCCUUGAGCUGUUGUGCUCGUGUGUUCGGUGUCGUGGGAGUGUCGGAGCGCUUUGCUAACUUAUUCCAGAUGGGCGAGGUUAUCGUGGUCAGCAAGGGAGCGGUGAUUUAGCAGCUUAGCCAUCCGGGCUAGUUUUUCGAACGUCUUCUCUUGUGUUUAUUUAGGGCUAUGGCCCCUGUAUUUUGUUGUUACCGGAUUUGUAAACUCUUAGUUAAACAGCUAUCCCACCUUUAUCGGCAUCGUGGUGUGCCUAGUUUUGUAGGGGUGAUAUUAAGGACCCCAGGACCGCGUUGUUAUGCUUUUAUCA